rnacentral:lncRNA from 1 species
AUUGGUGCUCGGGAAGAGGAGGCUGGUUCCUCCGGGUGAGCUGGGUGCUAUGACAGAUUAGACUUUUAUGCAAGAAAAUCAGUCCUGCACAUUUGAUGUACUGCUUUAAAACUUAAAGACCUCUUGGGACCUGACAUUGUAAGCAGGAGGAAGUUUGCAGACCAGGGAUUGAACCCGAGACAUAGCAGUGACAAUGUGGAGUCCUUAACUGGUAUCUCUCCUCUACAGGGCUAAGAGGAGUCCCAGGCUUGAUAACACGCUGAACAAAGACCUGUCAUGGAACAGACUCUUGCUGAGAUUUAAACUGGAGAGUUUGUGGAUGUGGAGCUGGGCCAGGAUACACAGAGAAAUGUGGGGGAAGAGGGAAGUCACUGAGAAGAAUCAAGAGAUCUUGGUGCUGCUUUCAUUUGCUGUGUGAUGCUGAUCAAGCAACAUAUUGUCUUUAGGAAUCCUGUUAUAAAAUUUGUCCAACAGAACCUACCUCGCAGAAUUACAGAGAAGAAAAAGAAGAGAGUUCUAUAAACCUGAAGAGCGAUCUUUUCAAAAAAUCAUCAGAAGGAAGGAAUUUGUAGAAAUAAAACUGGAAACAUCCAGAAUCUUGAUGGUGUGCCAAACCAAAUGUCAACUGGAGCUCGACCAAAAACUAAAGUGCUCUCCAACAAACGAAGCAAAGAGAGAGCAGCCCUCUUUUUCUUUAAUCUGCGGGCGAACACUUUUAGAUCCUUGUUCAGAAACUCAAGAUCUCGGCUUCAGUUCAAAUUAUCACCAGCAUUAGGUCUCUGGGAUACAGACAACUGCUGUUCUAUUUCUCGGGGAGAUUCGUAAGGAGACUUUUACCCUGGAUCACCAGGCAAAGUGAGCAGCUGGAACUGCCUCAUAAACAUGUCUUUGGGAGUGUGCUGGACCCACCAGCUGUACCAAAAUCACCAAACAGAAACUUCCGAAAUGUUUGUAGCAUCGAGCAUGGACAACUUUGUCCAUAUCCACUUUUAUAUUUGAUAGUUUAACAGUAUAUAACCAUCAACCACCUGACACCUAAGUGAAAAAUAAGCAUAGCUCUCUUUAAAAAUCAUAUGAAAGUGUCCUAAUUAUAAAUUGUGCCAUAAGUAGAACCCUCUUUGCUUCAUCCCUCUUGUUGAAAUUCAAACCAGAGCUCAAGGAGUUGAUCUUGCAUUUACGUCAGCGGCAAAGACUAUGCUUCACUGUUUGCUCCAGAAAUGACCAAAUGAGGGAUUUACACAAAUAAGCAUCAUGUGAAGGUUUUAAUUAGAAUGUGACAGAUUUAUUUUCUUUUUAUCAUAAGCAAAUCCAACUUGUUAUAGUUAAAGGAUAUUUUCCAUCAUAUGAAAGCUACCAUCAAGAGAGCAAAUAAGAAACAACUGCUGUUAACUCCUGGCAGAAUUGACAAGUACUUUUUUCACAAAUCUCCCAUGAGGAAAUUCUGCUUUGAUGGCUCUGAUCCAGUGUAAAAGUAUCAGAUUGGAUGUGGAGCUUAUCUGCAGGUAUUCAGGUAUCAUGCAGUGGGGGUUCAGUCUACCAGAGACUCAAUUUUUAGCUGCUUAUCUACUCUGCCAGCUAGUGUUUCAUCUUGACAGAAAAAGAAAUGAAUAGGCAAGCAGGCCAGCAGAAACUAGAAAAGAGUCAAAUCAAUUUUCACAUAAAUAUUUAUGGAAAACACUCUGGGAGUAGGAAAUAUCGGUGAAGGAUGUCUGAGAACAAUUUUUCUGCACAUGUAAAUCAGACGAGAAUUUUUGAAGCCUAAUUCAAAUUUCCAUGCAAAUGUAAAACAGUCCAUAAGGUUGGGUUUUUCAAUCACAACUUUCCUCUCUCUCUCUCUCUUUAAAAUCUCGUAUUUCAAAUUAAGUUAUUUUCACAAUUUAAAUUUUUCAUGGUCAUUCCUUCCCGUUGUUUGUAAAAUGUGACGUUAGCUCCCUCAUUUUUGGCUUCUCAUCGUUGCUUCUUGACUGGAGUGUUUAAGAGCUUCUCUCUCUAUGUUUGACCAAAGAUGUAAUAAGAAGGUCAGACAGAAGAAGCUCCUCGAUAUUUAGGGAUGUAAAGUGUAACCUGACGUAGAAAAAGGAUGUACUAUGACCCACUCUCAUUGUUUGCCCUUGUAAGGUGAUUCCUGAGGAUUCUUGUGUGUUAUAAUGGCCUCUGACCCACAUUUUCCUCUGGCUUCAGUCCCUGGAGAGGGAUAAGUAGGGAACCCGACAGCAGUCUCGAGCAGAAAAGCCGAGGCCCAGUGAGGUGGUCCAUAGGCCAGUCGAUGUUGUUACUUAACUACUAGAUUAAGAGAAGAUGACACUCAGUGAUUCUCUCUUUAAAAGAGUUUAAAUUGUCUGCCAGGACCAAUAUAUUUCAGCUUAAUGGUAUAAAAAACAUCAUUUGUAUGGUAGCAGCAGAGUAAAUUCUCUGAGUUGAUGCCUAGCAUACUGUGACCUUUGUGAGAUAAAAAGUCAAAAUAGAAAUGAUUGGUACGUAUGACUUCCCUAAUGGAAUAAAAAUUAAUUCAUUUUGCCAAGGGGAAGAGGGAGGGAGUGGGGUGGAUUGGGAGCUUGGGGUUAAUAGAUGCAAACUAUUGCCUUUGGAAUGGAUUAGCAAUGAGAUCCUGCUGUGUAGCCCUGGAAACUAUAUCUAGUCACUUAUGAUGGAGCAUGAUAAUGUGAGAAAAUAGAAUGUGUACAUGUAUGUGUAACUGCGUCACCAUGCUGUACAGUAGGAA